UAAUACGAAGGGGGCUAGCGUUGUUCGGAAUUACUGGGCGUAAAGCGUGCGCAGGCGGCUUCCCAAGUCAGUGGUGAAAGCCCGGAGCUCAACUCCGGAAAUGCCAUUGAAACUGUGAAGCUCGAGAACGAGAGAGGUGAGUGGAAUUCCCAGUGUAGAGGUGAAAUUCGUAGAUAUUGGGAAGAACACCAGUGGCGAAGGCGGCUCACUGGCUCGUAACUGACGCUCAUGCACGACAGCGUGGGGAUCAAACAGGAUUAGAUACCCUGGUAGUCCACGCCGUAAACGAUGAUUGCUAGCCGUUGGGCAGCUUGCUGUUCAGUGGCGCAGCUAACGCAUUAAGCAAUCCGCCUGGGGAGUACGGCCGCAAGGUUG
rnacentral:rRNA from 1 species